rnacentral:rRNA from 1 species
CAGCCGCCGCGGUAAUACCGGCGGCCCGAGUGGCGGCCACUAUUAUUGGGCUUAAAGCGUCCGUAGCCGGGUUGGUUAGUCUCCCGGGAAAUCUGGCCGCUUAACGGUCAGAAUGCCGGAGGAUACUCCCAGCCUAGGGAGCGGGAGAGGCCGAGGGGAUUCCCGGAGGAGGGGGGAAAUCCUAUAAUCCCGGGAGGACCACCUGUGGCGAAGGCGCUCGGCUGGAACGCGUCCGACGGUGAGGGACGAAGGCCAGGGGAGCAAACCGGAUUAGAUACCCGGGUAGUCCUGGCUGUAAACGAUGCGGACUUUGUGUCGGACAAGCUAUGAGCUUGUCCGGUGCCGGAGGGAAACCGUUAAGUCCGCCGCCUGGGGAGUACGGCCGCAAGGCUGAAACUUAAAGGAAUUGGCGGG